rnacentral:lncRNA from 1 species
CUCCCUGGAGAGUUCAGUCAUCUCUUCUGGAGCAAGUCACCUAGCAGCAGUGAACCUCCAUUUCUUUAUCUCAAAAAUGGGAGUCAAUAAUCCCUGCCUUAUUGAUGUCACUGGAUUGUCAUAAAAAUGACAUCAUUAUGUAAAGGUCUUUGUAACCUGCCACGUACUCUAUAAUGAUGAGAUACUCCUUAUAUUAAACCAAAGAAAGAAAUGACUCUGCUAAAGAUGGAAUUUUAGACAUCAAAUUAGAACUGAGAGACACUCAAAGAUUCUGGACUGUCUUCUGAGCAGAGAAUAAAAAGUAGCUAUCAUCUGCCCACCACAGACAUGAAAAAACAAGAAAGACAGUUUGCAGAGAGGAGAGAAUGAAACAGGACUGUAGAGAGAAGCAGAGACAAGAAAUGGAUCUUCCCAUCUCGUCAUGAGCUUCCACUUCCAGACCCUGUACUCAGUGGAUCAGCUGGCACCACGCAGAU